rnacentral:rRNA from 1 species
GCAUCGAUGAAGAACGCAGCGAAAUGCGAUAAGUAAUGUGAAUUGCAGAAUUCAGUGAAUCAUCGAAUCUUUGAACGCACAUUGCGCCCCCUGGCAUUCCGGGGGGCAUGCCUGUUCGAGCGUCAUUACACCACUCAAGCCUGGCUUGGUAUUGAGCGCCGCGGCCUGCCCGCGCGCUCCAAUGUCUCCGGCUGAGCCGUCCGUCUCUAAGCGUUGUGAAUAGCGAUCGCUUGCGAGGCCCGGGCGCGCUCGACGCCGUUAAACCCCCCAUUUUCUAUGGUUGACCUCGGAUCAGGUAGGGAUACCCGCUGAACUUAAGCAUAUCAAUAAGCGGAGGAA